CAAGUCGAGCGGCAGCGCGGGGCAACCUGGCGGCGAGCGGCGAACGGGUGAGUAAUGCAUCGGAACAUGUCCAUGUCGUGGGGGAUAGCCCGGCGAAAGCCGGAUUAAUACCGCAUAAGCCCGAGAGGGGAAAGUGGGGGACCGCAAGGCCUCACGCGAUUGGGUUGGCCGAUGUCCGAUUAGCUAGUUGGCGGGGUAAUGGCCCACCAAGGCGAUGAUCGGUAGCUGGUCUGAGAGGAUGAUCAGCCACACUGGGACUGAGACACGGCCCAGACUCCUACGGGAGGCAGCAGUGGGAAUUUUGGACAAUGGGGGCAACCCUGAUCCAGCCAUUCCGCGUGAGUGAAGAAGGCCUUCGGGUUGUAAAGCUCUUUUGUCCGGAACGAAACGGGUAGCGUGAAUAUCGCUGCCUACUGACGGUACCGGAAGAAUAAGCACCGGCUAACUACGUGCCAGCAGCCGCGGUAAUACGUAGGGUGCGAGCGUUAAUCGGAAUUACUGGGCGUAAAGCGUGCGCAGGCGGUUUUGUAAGCCAGAUGUGAAAUCCCCGGGCUUAACCUGGAAAUGGCAUUUGGGACUGCAAGGCUGGAGUGUGGCAGAGGAGACUGGAAUUCCUGGUGUAGCAGUGAAAUGCGUAGAUAUCAGGAGGAAUACCGAUGGCGAAGGCAGGUCUCUGGGCUGACACUGACGCUCAUGCACGAAAGCGUGGGGAGCAAACAGGAUUAGAUACCCUGGUAGUCCACGCCCUAAACGAUGUCGACUGGUUGUUGGGGGUUUGACACUCUCAGUAACGAAGCUAACGCGUGAAGUCGACCGCCUGGGGAGUACGGCCGCAAGGUUAAAACUCAAAGGAAUUGACGGGGACCCGCACAAGCGGUGG
rnacentral:rRNA from 1 species